GGAGCUGACCAGUCGGCCUGGUGUGGUCCGGGCCGGCCUUGGCUGCCUGCUCCUUUCCACCCCAGAAUGAAUCGGUCUACUUCCCGGGUCUGGAUGUAGGCUGCCCUCCAUCGGGGGAGGGUGCGUGUCCUAGACCUGGGGGGUAUAGAGUGUGCAUGGGAAGCAUGAUUGGAAUAUUGUGUCCAUCUUGUGUGUCUUUAAAUGAGUAUGUGUGAGGAUGAGGGUGGGAUCAUGUGAUUGUGUCUGUGUAUGAUUGGAUAUUUGUCAGGCUGUGUCUUGGGUUGCAGCAAAGUUAUAAUUAUUAUGAUGUACACGUUAUUUGUUGCUAUGUUUUUGUUUCCUCCAUUUUUUCAGGUGUGCAGACAGAUUGGUGUGUUAUCUUGUGUUUUCUUGGUUUAUCUUUCACAUAUAUAAUCUCUCUUUCAAGUUUUCCCAUUACAUUUCUCCUUUUUCUUCUCUUUCUUUUUCUUCUCUUUUAUUUGAGGCAUUCUGUGAGUCUGUCAUCUGUUUUGCUCCUGCCUGGUCUCUCAUUGGUCGUCAGUUCCACCGCAGCAACAGCAGAUUUGGAUCAUCAGCUCUCAAGUGUUCAUAAGGCUGUUCAGAAGAGCAGAUCUUUGCUGAUGCAUCACCUGCUCUUGGAGUGAAAAACCUCCUGAAGUAAUCUUUGGACAGUCCUCCUUGUGAACCUGCCGAGAUCUUACCUAAGAGCCACUCACCUGAUCCCUCCUGUGCUGCUGCCUGUCUGCCUCUGACCAAACCUGGAACGUGAUAACCUUCUUUUGGACUCACCUGUCAAGUACUCACCUCCUUACCUUGGACCUUCUCCUCCGAGCCGCUCCCUCCCUGCUACCUCCCUGGAUUUUCCCC